rnacentral:rRNA from 1 species
UACGGAGGGUGCAAGCGUUAUCCGGAUUCACUGGGUUUAAAGUGUGCGUAGGUGUGUUGGUAAGUCCGUGGUGAAAUCCCCAAGCUUAACUUGGGAACUGCCGUGGAUACUAUCAAUCUUGAAUAUCGUUGAGGUAAGCGGAAUAUGUCAUGUAGCGGUGAAAUGCUUAGAUAUGACAUAGAACACCGAUAGCGGAGGCAGCUUACUAAGCGAUCAUUGACACUGAGGCACGAAAGCGUGGGGAGCAAACAGG